rnacentral:rRNA from 1 species
GACGAACGCUGGCGGCGUGCUUAACACAUGCAAGUCGAACGGAAAGGCCCCUUUGGGGGUACUCGAGUGGCGAACGGGUGAGUAACACGUGAGUAACCUGCCCUUGACUUCGGGAUAACUUCAGGAAACUGGGGCUAAUACCGGAUAGGAAUCCUUGCUGCAUGGUUGGGGUUGGAAAGCUUCGGCGGUUUUGGGUGGACUCGCGGCUUAUCAGCUUGUUGGUGGGGUAGUGUCUUACCAAGGCUUUUACGGGUAGCCGGCCUGAGAGGGCGACCGGCCAAAUUGGGACUGAGAUACGGCCCAGACUCCUACGGGAGGCAGCAGUGGGGAAUAUUGAAAAAGGGGCGGAAGCCUGAUGCAGCAACGCCGCGUGCGGGAUGACGGCCUUCGGGUUGUAAAACGCUUUCAGCAGGGGAGAAGCUUGUGGUGACGGUACCUGCAGAAGAAGCACCGGCUAACUACGUG